AGAUUCUUAGUAUAUUUAGUAUGUUCGAUUGCAGAUCGAAGGGAUAAGAGUCUU
rnacentral:tRNA from 1 species